rnacentral:rRNA from 1 species
GUGAACGACGGGCGGAGGGUCGAGGUAAUAGGGAGGGGGCAGGCGUAGUGUGUAAUUAAUGGGCGCAAAGAGAACGCAGGCGGUCUGACAAGUCGGGUGUGAAAGCCCCAGGCUCAACCUGGGAACUGCAUCCGAAACUGCCAGACUUGAGUUCGGGAGAGGGAAGUGGAAUUCCUGGUGUAGAGGUGAAAUUCGUUGAUAUCAGGAGGAACACCGGCGGCGAAAGCGGCUUCCUGGCCCGAUACUGACGCUCAUGUACGAAAGCGUGGGGAGCAAACAGGAUUAGAUACCCGAGUAGUC